UACCCCUUCCGGAAGCUGCCCCUCCCCCUCCACAAGCUGCCCCUCCCGCUCCGCGAGUGUACGGUCUCACGCACUACAGUUCCCAGCAUGCCGUUCGAGCAACCUUGGAGGCGGAACCAGUGUCGCCAUAGCAACUGUUCCGGAUUGUUUCCAAUGCAUCGCUGGGAUUUAGCAAGAAACUUGUAGCAAUAAGGACAAGAUUGUAAGCCUGGAGAUGCCAGAGGCUACCACAUGAAUCUUAAGAAUGAAGCUGACACAGCAGAAGGCUGAGCCAAGAAGCUACGAGAAACUGAAUUUUGAUUACAUUUUUUGAGCUCCUGGAUCAAACCACUCAUGACACUAAACAACCCCAAGGCUUUUCUGCUACAUGAAUAAAUACAUUUUCUUUCCUAUUUAAA